rnacentral:rRNA from 1 species
GGAAGUAAAAGUCGUAACAAGGUCUCCGUUGGUGAACCAGCGGAGGGAUCAUUAUAGAGUUCUAAACUCCAACCUUUGUGACAUAUACGUGUUGCUUCGGCGGGUUGGGGGGCCCAGCGCCCACCGUCGCCCGCCGGGGACCCAAACUCUUGCCUUCUAGCGGAAUCUUCUGAGUGAAAGCAAAUAAAAUCAAAACUUUCAGCAACGGAUCUCUUGGCUCUAGCAUCGAUGAAGAACGCAGCGAAAUGCGAUAAGUAAUGUGAAUUGCAGAAUUCAGUGAAUCAUCGAAUCUUUGAACGCACAUUGCGCCCGCCAGCACUCUGGCGGGCAUGCCUGUUCGAGCGUCAUUUCAACCCUCAGCGCCCCCCCGCGGGCGCUGGCGUUGGGGAUUGGCAGCCAGCCAGCCCCUAAAUCUAGUGGCGGUCCCUCCGCGACCUCCCCUGUGCAGUAGCGAUACCUCGCAGCGGGACAGCGGUCUGACCACGCCGUAAAACCCCCUACUUCUCAAGGUUGACCUCGGAUCAGGUAGGACUACCCGCUGAACUUAAGCAUAUCAAUAAGCCGGAGGAAAACGGC